UACAGAGGUCUCAAGCGUUGUUCGGAUUCAUUGGGCGUAAAGGGUGCGUAGGCGGCGCGGUAAGUCGGGUGUGAAAUCUCGGAGCUUAACUCCGAAACUGCAUUCGAUACUGCCGUGCUUGAGGACUGGAGAGGAGACUGGAAUUUACGGUGUAGCGGUGAAAUGCGUUGAUAUCCUAAGGAACACCGUGGCGAAAGCGGACGUCGCUGGAUCUGCUCUGACGCUG
rnacentral:rRNA from 1 species